AAACAAAUAUCUCACCACAUCUGUAACUGUGCAAGUACACAGCACAUACUGUAGAUAAUGAAGUGUCUUAAGGUUCAGGGGUCAAAUGGCGGAGGAUUGUAGGAAGUGACUCUCUCUGUGCAGUGGGUAAGAGUGAGCGAGAGAGAGAGAGAGGGGGGAGAGGAGAGGGGGGGAGAGGAGAGAGAGAGAGGGGAGAGAGGGAGAAAGAGAGCGAGGGAGAGCGAGGGAGAGAGAGAGUGAGUGAGAGCGAUCGAGGAGAGAGAGAGGAAAGAGACGUGGGGAGAGAGCGAGAGAGAGUUGUUGUAAUAUACAGUCGAAGUGUAUUGAGAGGAGGCCUCUUUGAUCCAGAAGGUCACAAUAGCACUCCUCAUUAAUUUAGGUUUUAUUUUCCUCUGAGGUUCAGGCCUCUCCAGCAACGUUAGCAUUAGCAUGAUGGAAUCAGCUGAGGUUCAAGCCUCUCCAGCGACAUUAGCAUUAGCAUGAUGGAAUCAGCUGAGGUUCAAGCCUCUCCAGCGACAUUAGCAUUAGCAUGAUGGAAUCAGCUGAGAUUCAAGCCUCUCCAGCAACAUUAGCAUUAACAUGAUGGAAUCAGCUGAGAUUCAAGCCUCUCCAGCGACAUUAGCAUUAACAUGAUGGAAUCAGCUGUGCGUGGGUGGGUGUGUUAGAGAGAGAGCAU
rnacentral:lncRNA from 1 species